rnacentral:lncRNA from 1 species
GUAUUUUUCUUGUGAUGUGAACAGGUUCGGUUUCACUUCAGAACCUCGUCCUCACGCGGUCAUGAUAAUGGCGUCUCAUACUCGCAAUCUCAAUAUUUUGUUCUCCACUCGUUGGGUCCGAAAAGGGGAUUCAUGCUGCUGGAAAAGCCUAGUAUUUUCGCUGUCAUAUAAAAUAAAAUGAAAGCUCCAAAAAAGUAAACAUGCUUUUCGCUGUUCAUUAUCCGUCUCAUGUUUUGAAUUAAAAAAAAGGUGAUUGUUUCUCAGGUUUCUUAGCCGCACGCAGAAGAUAGAUGAACGCUGGGAGGUCAGUUGAUAAUCAGAACCUCAUACCCAUGUGGUCAUCUUGAUUUUGAUGUCUCAAUAAUCAGUACCUCUCUGCUCCAGUUGCUGGGAUUUCAGAAAACAAACUGGGGAUUUAUGCUUCCAUGUCGGAAAUGCCUACCUACUAUUUUGCUGCCAUAUCAGAAAUCUGAAAGUUGGACAGGUAACCUGCUUUUUUCCCUCUCUAUCUAUUAUUCACCACAUGUUCUGAACUAAAAACAAGAUGAUUAUUUUUCAGCUCCUUGACUGCAUUCAGAAGAAAUAUCCGGAGAUGUUCGGACAGGAAUUCGGUAAUCGGACCAGGCAAAUUUGCUAGGAUUGAUCGAACUUGUAUCUCCCUCCGUCAGAAAUUUGGGAUAGCCUUGCCAGAGGACGUGCAUUCUGACCCUGUCUCCUCCGACAGGACAAGUUCCUGCUCAUCUCCGUUCUAUGUUCAGGCUUCAGGCAAGGCAAUUAACCCGCCUGCAUGCUCACCGGUAAUAAAAAAUAGCCCCAUUUUGAAGGUGCAAUGAGUGAGUUAUGUCGACACACUGCUUGCUUGACCAUUUUCCGAACCUUCUAUGCAUCAAAGGAGGAUGCAGGGGCAUGUGUCAGUGAGGAGUCUCAACUUGUUAGCCUAAUGUCGGUGCAUUUGUUUGCGUUCUGCUAUUGACGGUGGUUUGUCGUCCCGAGUUUAUUUUCGGCGGCAAAUGCGCAUUUCUUGACAACCUUAUUUUUUUUCUGCGAAAUGCUGUUCAUGAACCUCAUCAACUUGUUAGAUGUUGGUGUGCUACCAUUUCAGAAGAAUGCUUCCUUGUAACUUUUACACGUUGCUGGAUUACCGUUUCUAUGUUUGGAAGAAUGCUUUCGUUAUGUUAAAGUGAUAAUGUCUUCAGCCCUGAGUUGCACAUGUAGUUGAUAGUUUAGCUGACAAGGCAGCGCUUGUAUCAUGAAUUCAUGAUGCCUUUGAUUUGAUACAUUUAAAGAUGCUAUCAAUUUAACACUACAGAGUUCAGUAUGUUAAUACUAUUGAAACAGCGUAACUGAAUGCAUGUUCGCUGCUUAUACACGCAUACGUCAGAACUAACCUGUCAAAGAAACACAACACAGAGCUGCAAGUUGGUC